CAGCUGACCACUCUAGCCAAUCGGCGGCACCCAUGCCUGACAUCAAUCUGCACUUCCUGACACUCCUUUUCAGAAGCAGAAUACCACUGAGCGACCUGGAGAUCUGGAGCUGGAGGAAGCCUUUGGGAUUAAACAAUUUGAGAGCGGUUUAACCCCUUAAAGAAAAGAGAGCACCCAGGGGCCUCCUUGCGUCAUAGCAUUUUCAUUUAGAUGAAGUUGUUAUGGUGACCAGAAUGUUCCUUUCAUUUUAUUAAAGGAACACUAUAGUGUCAGGAAAACAAACAUGUAUUCCUGACACCAUAGUUGUGAAAACACUUUUCACCCUGGCUUUAUGUGAUAAUGGCUAUGCUCCUCCC